GUGGGGAAUAUUGGACAAUGGGCGAAAGCCUGAUCCAGCCAUGCCGCGUGUGUGAAGAAGGUCUUCGGAUUGUAAAGCACUUUAAGUUGGGAGGAAGGGCAGUAAGUUAAUACCUUGCUGUUUUGACGUUACCGACAGAAUAAGCACCGGCUAACUUCGUGCCAGCAGCCGCGGUAAUACGAAGGGUGCAAGCGUUAAUCGGAAUUACUGGGCGUAAAGCGCGCGUAGGUGGUUUUGUGAGUUGGAGGUGAAAUCCCCGGGCUCAACCUGGGAACUGCCUCCAAAACUGCAUGACUAGAGUACGGUAGAGGGUAGUGGAAUUUCCUGUGUAGCAGUGAAAUGCGUAGAUAUAGGAAGGAACACCAGUGGCGAAGGCGACUACCUGGACUGAUACUGACACUGAGGUGCGAAAGCGUGGGGAGCAAACAGGAUUAGAUACCCCGGUAGUCC
rnacentral:rRNA from 1 species